CCAGACUCCUACGGGAGGCAGCAGUGGGGAAUAUUGGGCAAUGGGGGAAACCCUGACCCAGCGACGCCGCGUGAGGGAAGAAGGUUUUCGGAUUGUAAACCUCUGUCCUUGGUGACGAUAAUGACGGUAGCCAAGGAGGAAGCCACGGCUAACUACGUGCCAGCAGCCGCGGUAAUACGUAGGGGGCAAGCGUUAUCCGGAUUUACUGGGUGUAAAGGGAGCGUAGACGGCAGUGCAAGUCCGGAGUGAAAGCCCGGGGCUCAACCCUGGGACUGCUCUGGAAACUGUAAAGCUGGAGUGCGGGAGGGGCAGGCGGAAUUCCUGGUGUAGCGGUGAAAUGCGUAGAUAUCAGGAGGAACACCGGCGGCGAAGGCGGCCUGCUGGACCGUAACUGACGUUGAGGCUCGAAAGCGUGGGGAGCAAACAGGAUUAGAUACCCGAGUA
rnacentral:rRNA from 1 species